CUAACUCCAAAUUUGAUUUCCCAAGUUAUGAACUCAACCCUCAAAAUUUCAUAUUUCCUCCCAGCGAUUACCGCAUCUGCGGUCAACGAAGUACACCUGCGGUCCCCCACCUACAGAAAAAGGCAUAACAGGUGCGAAACUCACUUAACGGGCUGGGUCCGCUUUCGCGGUCGUCUGGCCACAUCUGCAGCUCCACAUUUGUGGUGACCCUACCGCACCUGCGGUCUCGGAGCCUUGGCCAAAUCCUGCUUCUGCGAGCACCUAGCCACUUCUGCGGCACCGCACCUACAGUCCCACACACGCAGGUGUGGUUAUGACUGGUUCAACUAACUCAACCUCUUUCUAAGUCUAAUUCAACUUAUGCUAAGCACCCGAAACUCAUCCGAGGCCUCAGGGACCUCAACCAAAUAAUGUCAACCAAUCCUAAAACAUUAUUCAAACUUGUUUCAACCUUCGAAACGCUCAAAACAGCAUCAAAACACCAAUUUAACAUUGGAUUCAAGCCUAAGAACUUUAAAAUCUCACAAAUUAUGCUUUUGUUCAAAAAGUCUAUCAAACCUCAUCUGAAUGACCUGGAAUGUUGCACACACAUCACAUUCAACACUACGGAGCUACUCCAACUUCCAAAAUUCCAUUUGGACUCCCGAAUCAAAAUCUCACUAUCGAACCGAAAACUUCAAAAAUUCAGCUUUCGACAUUUCAAGCCUAAAUAGGCUAUGGACCUUCAAAACACAAUCCGAACACGCUUCUAAACCUGAAAUCACCCAAAAGAGCUAAUGGAACCGACGAAAUUCUAUUUAGAAGCCGUCUUCACACUGUUCCGGCUACGAUCCAAGGUCUAAAACUUAAACUCUCACUUUGGGCCUAACAGUCCCAAAACUCUCUGAAAUUCCAAUUAAAUCCUCCCGACAACUCACAAUAGUAGAAACAAACAAGAAAAAUGAAGUUAAUAGAAA
rnacentral:lncRNA from 1 species